UUACUUCACAAUCCAAACCCUAGCCACUCUUUAGAGAGAGACUAGAGAGAAAAAUCAGAAAUCCAUCCUUGGUGGCUAGUACCACACUUCCUUCUCCUGCAGAUCGUAGGACGAUUCGUGCAUAGCGUUCGUGUGGAUACCGUAGAGACGCAGUCCACUUGAAUUGCGUUGGAGAUUCGACCGGAUCGGUUCUAGCAAAUCAAAUCGGUAAAAUUUCUAUCCUCUGAAUUAAUUGAUUUUCGCAUGGAUCCUGUUUUGGGGUUUCGGAAAUUACUUUGAAUUGUUCAAUUUCCG
rnacentral:lncRNA from 1 species